GUCUUGAUUUAUAAUAGCUAACAUGCGCUUUGAGCAAGAAGUCUUCCAUAUGAAAACACCAGUCUGAUUGGCCCACUUUCAUCAUUGUUGAUGUAGUGAUCACACUGUCAAGCAAGCUUAGACCAUGAGGCUCCAAUGUUUUCAAAAGCGAAAAGCACAAAAAAGCAACAAGAUCUAUGGGCUUGAAGCAAAAAGCGAGAACUGAAGCGCACACUUCUUUGAAGUAAAGUGCAAGUUAUGGAAUACAAAAAAAAUACCAAACAUGUAUGAAUUUAAUGCUAUAAUAAAGCUGCUAUUGAUCCAACUCCUCAUAGUUAAGCCAAAAAUUGACCGCUUAUCAUUGGGAUUAUUUUGCGCGUCAUUAUUUGAAGCACACACUUCUCUAAAGCACAUGGCUUAGCUCAUCAAGCGAUAACACCUCGUUGGGCUUGCUUUAUGGCUUUAAGCGGCAAAGCAAUAACCCUUAAUAACACUAUGAGACUCAGCUGAUCUUGUCAUCAUAACAUGUCUGAAAGUCGUUUCUCUUUACCUUGAUCUACUUCUAUAUUCUUCAAGUAGCUUCCUAUAAAGCGAACAUAUUUUAACUACUCUCUGUCUUUGCAAGUAGUCUAAAACCCUUCUACCUAGGUAAUUCCAAUUUCAACAAUUUAUUGCUAGAAGGGUCCGACUUGGUACAAGUAGUGUUAGGGUAUGUAUAAACUAAAUAGAAAUAUUACAUUUGUGACUUCCUUUCUCUUUCCCUAAUAAUCGUCAUAAGAUAGAGCAUAAAAGUAAAGAGAUACAUAAUAUAAAGUAGAAAUCUUUUCUCAAUUCCACAAGUUAUCAUAAAUGCUUAACCAAUAAAGGCUCAAAUCUCAUUCUAUUUUCUAAUGGAUGGGUGGUUGUUGCACAAGGUUGUUUGAAGACUUGGUGUUAAUAGCAAGUGUGACUUUCCAUAAGAGGCGGAUGCAGUGUUGCGAUGUUGGGUUCAUUUGCACCUAGUACUU